rnacentral:rRNA from 1 species
UGAGUAACGCGUAGGAAUCUACCCAGUAGCGGGGGAUAAGCCAGAGAAAUUUGGUCUAAUACCGCAUACGCCCUUCGGGGGAAAGCAGGGGAUCUUCGGACCUUGCACUAUUGGAUGAGCCUGCGUGAGAUUAGCUUGUUGGUGAGGUAAUGGCUCACCAAGGCGACGAUCUCUAGCUGGUCUGAGAGGAUGAUCAGCCACACUGGAACUGAGACACGGUCCAGACUCCUACGGGAGGCAGCAGUGGGGAAUAUUGCACAAUGGGCGCAAGCCUGAUGCAGCCAUGCCGCGUGUGUGAAGAAGGCCCUAGGGUUGUAAAGCACUUUCAGCAGUGAGGAAAGGUGCGUAGUUAAUACCUGCGUACUGUGACGUUAACUGCAGAAGUAGCACCGGCUAACUCCGUGCCAGCAGCCGCGGUAAUACGGAGGGUGCGAACGUUAAUCGGAAUUACUGGGCGUAAAGCGCGCGUAGGUGGAUUGGUCAGUCAGAUGUGAAAGCCCAGGGCUCAACCUUGGAACUGCACCUGAUACUGCCAAUCUAGAAUACGGUA